rnacentral:rRNA from 1 species
CCUACGGGGGGCUGCAGUGGGGAAUAUUGGACAAUGGGGGGAACCCUGAUCCAGCCAUGCCGCGUGUGUGAAGAAGGCCCUCGGGUUGUAAAGCACUUUCAGUGAGGAAGAACGCCUGGUGGUUAAUACCCAUCAGGAAGGACAUCACUCACAGAAGAAGCACCGGCUAACUCCGUGCCAGCAGCCGCGGUAAUACGGAGGGUGCGAGCGUUAAUCGGAAUUACUGGGCGUAAAGCGCGCGUAGGUGGCUUGAUAAGCCGGUUGUGAAAGCCCCGGGCUCAACCUGGGAACGGCAUCCGGAACUGUCAAGCUAGAGUGCAGGAGAGGAAGGUAGAAUUCCCGGUGUAGCGGUGAAAUGCGUAGAGAUCGGGAGGAAUACCAGUGGCGAAGGCGGCCUUCUGGACUGACACUGACACUGAGGUGCGAAAGCGUGGGUAGCAAACAGGAUUAGAUACCCGGUAGUC